rnacentral:rRNA from 1 species
AUUGCACGCUGGCGGCAGGCCUAACACAUGCAAGUCGAACGAGUGGCGGACGGGUGAGUAAUGUCUGGGAAACUGCACGAUGGAGGGGGGUAACUACUGGAACCGGUAGCUAAUACCGCAUACCAUCGGAUGUGCCCAGAUGGGAUUAGCUAGUAGGUGGGGUAACGGCUCACCGAGGCGACGAUCCCUAGCGGGUCUGAGAGGAUGACCAGCCACACUGGAACGGAGACACGGUCCAGACUCCUACGGGAGGCAGCAGUGGGGAAUAUUGCACAAGGGGCGCAAGCCUGAUGCAGCCAUGCCGCGUGUAUGAAGAAGGCCUUCGGGUUGUAAAGUACUUUCAGCGAGGAGGCGUUACUCGCAGAAGAAGCACCGGCUAACUCCGUGCCAGCAGCCGCGGUAAUUC